UACAGAGGGUGCGAGCGUUAAUCGGAAUUACUGGGCGUAAAGCGCACGUAGGUGGCGACGUAAGUCGGGUGUGAAAGCCCCGGGCUCAACCUGGGAAUUGCAUUCGAGACUGCAUUGCUGGAGUACGGAAGAGGAGGGCGGAAUUCCCGGUGUAGCGGUGAAAUGCGUAGAUAUCGGGAGGAACAUCAGUGGCGAAGGCGGCCUGCUGGGCUGUUGCUGACGCUGAGGCGCGACAGCGUGGGGAGCAAACAGG
rnacentral:rRNA from 1 species